UUGAACGCUGGCGGCAGGCCUCACACCUGCAAGUCGAGCGGAUGAAGGGAGCUUGCUCCUGGAUUCAGCGGCGGACGGGUGAGUAAUGCUUAGGAAUCUGCCUGGUAGUGGGGGAUAACGUCCGGAAACGGGCGCUAAUACCGCAUACGUCCUGAGGGAGAAAGUGGGGGAUCUUCGGACCUCACGCUAUCAGAUGAGCCUAGGUCGGAUUAGCUAGUUGGUGGGGUAAAGGCCUACCAAGGCGACGAUCCGUAACUGGUCUGAGAGGAUGAUCAGUCACACUGGAACUGAGACACGGUCCAGACUCCUACGGGAGGCAGCAGUGGGGAAUAUUGGACAAUGGGCGAAAGCCUGAUCCAGCCAUGCCGCGUGUGUGAAGAAGGUCUUCGGAUUGUAAAGCACUUUAAGUUGGGAGGAAGGGCAGUAAGUUAAUACCUUGCUGCUUUGACGUUACCAACAGAAUAAGCACCGGCUAACUUCGUG
rnacentral:rRNA from 1 species